rnacentral:rRNA from 1 species
GCUUAACGCGAAGAACCUUACCUGGGCUAGAAAGCGUAAGAACCUUGGUGAAAACUGAGGGUGCCCUUCGGGGAACUUACGAUUUAGGUGCUGCAUGGCUGUCGUCAGCUCGUGUCGUGAGAUGUUGGGUUAAGUCCCGCAACGAGCGCAACCCUUGUUGUUAGUUGCCAGCAUUAAGUUGGGCACUCUAACAAGACUGCCGACCUUUAAGUCGGAGGAAGGUGGGGAUGACGUCAAGUCCUCAUGGCCCUUACGUCCAGGGCUACACACGUGCUACAAUGACCGGUACAAAGGGUUGCCAAACCGCGAGGUGGAGCCAAUACCCAAAAAGCCGGCCUCAGUACGGAUAAGAGUCUGCAACUCGACUUCUUUGAAGGCGGAAUCGCUAGUAACUCCCUGAUCAGCAUAGCAGGGGUGAAUACGUUCCCGGGUCUUGUACACAC